GACGAACCGUGCGAACGUUGUUCGGAAUCACUGGGCUUAAAGGGCGCGUAGGCGGGCCAUCAAGUCAGGGGUGAAAUCCUCCGGCUCAACCGGAGAACAGCUUUUGAUACUGGUGGUCUUGAGUGGGGUAGGGGCAUGUGGAACUUCCGGUGGAGCGGUGAAAUGCGUAGAUAUCGGAAGGAACGCCGGUGGCGAAAGCGACGUGCUGGACCCCUUCUGACGCUGAGGCGCGAAAGCCAGGGGAGCAAACGGG
rnacentral:rRNA from 1 species